UGUUUAAUAUAAAUAUGUCAAUUGAAACAUUUAGGACAUACUUAUACUAAAA
rnacentral:miRNA from 1 species